rnacentral:lncRNA from 1 species
AGGACUAAGUGUAUUUAAUAUUCGGAAAACUAGGAAGAGAAAUGAAGACAUUAAAAGAGAUGUUGAAAUAAUAAUAGUUGAAGUAUGAAGAUAUGUAAAAAUUCCUUUUUCUCAAACAGGCAAAGCUGGCUGGGAACGAUCCUCUGCCAUUUUAAGAUCCAAGGACCACCAAACUGUUCAUUAUUCUCUAAUCACAUGGUUAUAAUUCACCCAAACUGGGAUGAGAAAUGGAGAAAUGAUGACAAUUGAAGUAUGAAGAAUGCAGAAGUAUGUUUGCCUCAAGUGGAAAAAGGGAAGCAUUGGGGGUCUGUCAGGUAACCAUGUGACCAUCCCAUUCAGACAGAGCUGGCUGGGAACGAUCCUCUACCAUUGUAGUGACCCAAGGACCACCAAACUGUUCAUUAUACUCUAAUCACAUGGUUAUAAUUCAUCCAAACUGGGAAGAGAAAUGGAGAAAUGAUGACAAUUGAAGUAUGAAGAACGCAAAAGUAUGUUUGCCUCAAGUGGAAAAAGGGAAGCAUUGGGGUCUGUCAGAUAACCAUGUGACCAUCCCAUUCAGACAGAGCUGGCCGGGAACGAUCCUCUACAGUUGUAGUGACCCCCAAGGACCACCGAACUGUUCAUUAUACUCUAAUCACAUGGUUAUAAUUCAUCCAAACUGGGAAGAGAAAUGGAGAAAUGAUGACAAUUGAAGUAUGAAGAACGCAAAAGUAUGUUUGCCUCAAGUGGAAAAAGGGAGGUCUGUCAGACAACCAUGUGACCAUCCCAUUCAGACACAGCUGGCCGGGAACGAUCCUCAAGGACCACCGAACUGUUAAUCACGCUCUGAUCACAUGGUCACAAUUCAUCCACCAGACGUAGGUUCCUGUCUCCUUAGAACUCAAGGAUACAGAGGUACGAGCCUAUAGAACAGAUCCUGUUCAAGUAAGGUCGUGCUUUCUAACCGUAACUCAGUGUUCUAAAAUACCUCUACUUUCUUUUGUACGCUCUCGAUGUGGGAUUGUAUCUAUUCAGAAGCUUGUGCAGACUACAGAAGUAAGCUAGAUAUAAAGAUGUUUUCUUAUGUUUUUUUCUGUCAUUUUAUAUAUUCAAAACCAGACCAGAAUGUUCUGAAAAGUCUGGCAUACUUUAAUUAAUGUGUGGGUGGAUGACAGACUAGUUGCAUGGGCUUCCUUAUUUUCUAAAAUAUUGCAAGUGGUGUUAUAAAGUCGGGAUAUUUAAUUACAAGUUGAUAGAGAGACUGGAUCAUCUAACACGAUACCUGAGAUGAAAAACUUUGACAAUGCGAAGGAUCUCGAGGGGUUAAUUCUUGAUGAUAGUAUUUGGAGCAGCGUUACAUUUACUGAAUAGGUUUGCCAGAACACUUCCUUUCCUUCGGUUGAAACUUGGAACCCAGCCAAUACAACCAAUCAAUUUGAAUUUCAGAGAUGGAAAAGGUGAAAGACAUUAGAGUCCCUUCCAAGUCUACCUUUACUACUCAAAUGAUUUCUUCUUUUAUCUUGUAACCGGAAGAGGUACCAACAGAAGUGGUGCAUGCAUUAGAAGAAGAUGAAUUAAGGGUUAAUGCUUCUGAUGAAAUUUUGCUGAAUUCCAAUACCGAAACAGGGAUUGCAGCGUAUCUAAGCAUUCAGGAGGAGGGCUUUGAUUUGAAUGAGAGUUCCGGCAAUUUCGGGUUCUUAUGAUGUUAAAGAUCAGAAUAUUGCAUCAGAUAAUGUGGAAGAAACUGCUUUCAAUUCUACAUUGUUGGAUGCUGCAAAUUCUGCUGAUGAGGAUGAAAAGGUCAGGGAGGAUUUGACAAUUUUGAGAUUGAAAACACAGGAUCUUGAGCCAGUUGAGCCACCAUCCACUAAUGAGUGAAGUGAAUAUUGCCGGUGAUGAUUGGAGUCCAAAAAGUGAUGUUGCUGAGCUUGUGGAAGAGAAAUUGAGUCAGAUGGAGAGCAAGAUGGGUCGUAAAAGGACGGAGAAGAAACAUCCGGGACUAAGACAUGGAAUAGGGAUGUCAGAAAACCGGUAUCCUUUCGUAAGGAAGAUGAACUACGAAAGCUAUUUCGUUGCUUGGGCGAAGUUGCAAAGUGUUUUUGUAGUCUGUCAGACAACCGCCUGAUCAUCCCAACCAGGGAAAGCUUGUUGGGAACGAUCCUCUGCCGUUGCAUGAUCCGUGGACCAUCUAACUGCUAAUCACGCUCUGAUCAAACGGUCUUAGUUCAUCCACCAGACUGAAGUUCCUGUCUCCUUUGAACUCAAGGAUACAGAGGUACGAGCCUAUAGAACAGAUCCUGUUCAAGUAAGGUCGUGCCCUUUGACACUAUCCAACGCAUCAAAAUAACCGUUCCAUUUUUUGUGAAGUCCCGAUGUGGGACGGUGUGAUGCUUGUCAGCGUGGUAUAAUAUAUAAACGUGACCUCCACCUUUAAACAGGAUCACUCCGAACC